AGGGUGAGCUGGGAAGAGAAGGACUUAAUGCUGCAAAUAGUGUUAAAAUGAAAGAAAAGUUUCUCUUAGGAUUCUUCUAGAAAGGUGCAACUGAACAAUGUGACAGGAUCUUGGACAGUGCAGAAGAGGAGGAGGAGACUUAAUAGCCUUUCCAUAAGGUUGAAUUUCUGAAUUUCUUGGCCAUGAAUGCCGAUAUGUUGAAGCCUUCUUUGUUUCAUUUGAAAUGCUGCCACUGAUUCAUUACUUGGACACCCUAUUAAAGGAUUUAUAUUUUAAA